GUAGCUAAUACCGCAUAACGUCGCAAGACCAAAGAGGGGGACCUUCGGGCCUCUUGCCAUCGGAUGUGCCCAGAUGGGAUUAGCUUGUUGGUGGGGUAACGGCUCACCAAGGCGACGAUCCCUAGCUGGUCUGAGAGGAUGACCAGCCACACUGGAACUGAGACACGGUCCAGACUCCUACGGGAGGCAGCAGUGGGGAAUAUUGCACAAUGGGCGCAAGCCUGAUGCAGCCAUGCCGCGUGCAUGAAGAAGGCCUUCGGGUUGUAAAGUACUUUCAGCGGGGAGGAAGGGAGUAAAGUUAAUACCUUUGCUCAUUGACGUUACCCGCAGAAGAAGCACCGGCUAACUCCGUGCCAGCAGCCGCGGUAAUACGGAGGGUGUAAGCGUUAAUCGGAAUUACUGGGCGUAAAGCGCACGCAGGCGGUUUGUUAAGUCAGAUGUGAAAUCCCCGGGCUCAACCUGGGAACUGCAUCUGAUACUGGCAAGCUUGAGUCUCGUAGAGGGGGGUAGAAUUCCAGGUGUAGCGGUGAAAUGCGUAGAGAUCUGGAGGAAUACCGGUGGCGAAGGCAGCCCCCUGGACGAAGACUGACGCUCAGGUGCGAAAGCGUGGGGAGCAAACAGGAUCAGAUACCCUGGUAGUCCACGCCGUAAACGA
rnacentral:rRNA from 1 species